AUUUAGUGAGACUCAGUUACUAUAAGCAGAAGCAGAAAAACUCAGUAGAAAACUCGCGAUCGCCAUUCAUUUCAAUUCAGUCUUGCGUUGUAGCUUAAACUUGAAACUGUGCCCGAGUAUUACACUUUCUUCGUCUUUAAGAUACUCGUAGAUAUAAAGAUACGUGAAGUAAUAUAUCGGCUCACAGUUUAUCAAGAUAAAAUACUAGUUUUUCUGGCAGUUCAAGUUUUCGUAACUGUGAUGAAUUAUCAAUGCGGUUAAGAAAAAUCGGGAAAAGAUAGAAGGUCGUGCUAAACCUAGUUUAGCAUUCGGUUUUAUGCAGUUAAGAUAUCUAGAUUGAAAACUUGUUGAUAGACAAAAUAGAUAAAAAGUUUUCUUCUUGUGGAACAUAUUUGGAUAUAAUUGGGCUUGAAAUAAUUUUUGCAUGCGAAAGUGAUCAUGUAAAGCAGAUGAAGCUGUGCUAUGACUUGUGAAAAUCUAGCCACCGGUUAUCUGUGGUUUUUCACUUCCGGAAUUAUCGAAUUUUGAAUAUAUGAAAGUGUCAGCUGAAUAACCAGAAAGUAUGUAUUACUAGAGAAUAUAGUUGUGGAGUGCAAUCUGGUCAGAAUUGUGAAGAUUAAAGUGUGAUAUACUAAAAAUCGUUUAUUGAAAGUGUGAUUCGACUUAUCUCGAGAAUUCUGUACAGCUGCUAUCAAAUUGGUUCAGCUAUAGGUUACAGAGAAUUUUUCAUCGAGUUGGUGAAGAACAGCAGAAGGCAUUCUUCCAAAUUUCGGCUAAAUUCGAAUAUGACUUCAACAGUCCUGCAACCAAUGGCCUGGACCAAUGAGAAAAUCCGUUUAGCCUGCGUCGAUAAUGUUGGAAUACGGCAAUUAUGGAAGUUAAUUGCGUUGGAUAACAACAAUGGAACGAAUGCUAAUACGAACAAAAAUAACAAUAUCGUAGUUGAGAGUGAAAACUUAGCCGAUUUUCUAAGUAAUAGAGAUUUACUUCUACCAAAUAAGAUGUCGCUGCUGAAGUUUCUUGCAAUUAAUGCACUAGAAUUGAGUGCUCCAGCUGCUCCAGUACUAUUGCAACAUGGCAGUACAAAAACAAAUGGAUGGGUUCAAUUAGCAGGGCAUCCGGAAAGCAUUGUUCCAGCUGCAGCUGGUGUUGUCCGUAAACGUGUUUCUGGUCCAGUUGACUCAGAAGUCAAAGCCUAUCGUCAAAUUGCCCAGGACGCCUGCGCAGCCAAGCUAGUUCCGAAAUUUCUUGGCGUUCAGGAAAUGAAAGGUGAAACCUACAUUGAAUUACAGGACCUCCUUCACGGCUUCAAAGAACCCAGUGUCAUGGACAUUAAAAUGGGAUGUAGAACAUUCUCUGAAUCAGAAGUCAUGAACACAACUCUUCGACCAGAUCUUUACAAAAAAAUGGUAGCAGUGGACAGCACAGCACCAACUGAAGAGGAACAUCGCCAACAAGCAAUCACUAAACUCCGAUACAUGCUCUUCCGUGAACAAAUGUCCUCCUCGCAAUCAAAAGGAUUCCGGAUUGAGGCCUUGCGUUUGGGCAACAACGAUCCCGUGACAGAUCUCAAAACUGUGCGAACAGCUAGUCAAAUCCAAGGUACCAUUUCGCAUUUUCUCAACAAUCGCAGGACGACAACCAAGGAUAUAAUCAAGAGGUUGAAAACAAUGCGAAGUUUAAUGGAGAAAUCGGAAUUCUUCCGCACUCAUGAAAUUGUUGGAUCCAGUAUUUUUAUUGUUUAUGACGAGGAGAAGAUCGGGGCGUGGCUGAUUGAUUUUGCCAAGGCGCGAAGAUUGCCGGAAGGUGUAUCGAUAACCCACCGCAAGCCAUGGAUUCCGGGAAAUUGCGAGGAAGGGCUACUGCAUGGUAUGGACGAACUAAUACAGGUUUUCGAGAAUGUAUACGAGUCUCAAACAAAAACUGAUUUGAGAAAAUGCAGUCGAAGGUAGUUAUGCUCCAUCUUAAUAACAGUGGAAAUAGAUAGUAGGACUGGUAUGCCUACAUCUACCUAUAUUAAGAGACUGAUUAUGUUGUACUAUAAAACAAUUGCUUUAACAUGCUUUAUCUUGCGACCGAGAUUUUUGACGCGAUCUGCGAAAUGAUUAAGAUAUCUAAAAUUGGCAAACUCAAUAAGAAGUUUAUGCCUUAGUUUAUGUUAAAAUCAUUUACUUCGAAACCAAGCACUGAAAAUAAGCAAAACAAAUCAACAAUUUUCCUCUGUUUCAUACAUCUGUUUCGCUUAAUAUUAUUUGCUCGAUUUUAAUUGCAAUUAUUUUGUUUUUCCAUAUUGGAAACUUGAUUUCAUGCUACAUUCAUUUCCAUAGUAAAAUAAUUUUAUUUCGCGUAUCAUGCUCUAAUUUAUAACUUUUUACGUUUUUUGUACGUUGUUUUCAUUUAAAAUAAAUCUACAUGUAUUUGAGCAAUAUUUAAAUACACAGUUCAUUAUUCAUUCAGUUGUGCACAAUUGAAGUCAUAAAAUCUAUUUCUUCACUAUAUUUGUAUCAUCAAGUUAAAUAAAUCGAAUUUUAAUAGAUUUGUAAAGCUUAAUAGGAGAUGUCUAAUUGUAAAGUAUUUCUGUGAAUAGUUGUAUGUCAACUGCAACGCAUUUGGAUUUGCCAGUCGCGCCCUUGCAAAAAGUCUACAGGAAACACUUGAAUCCAAGACGGCUGAUAAAUUAAUCGAAUACCGUC
rnacentral:misc_RNA from 1 species